CCUACGGGAGGCAGCAGUGGGGAAUAUUGGGCAAUGGAGGCAACCCUGACCCAGCAACGCCGCGUGAAUGAUGAAGGUUUUCGGAUUGUAAAGUUCUUUUCUAAGGGAAGAAGAAAGUGACGGUACCUUAGGAAUAAGCCUCGGCUAACUACGUGCCAGCAGCCGCGGUAAUACGUAGGAGGCGAGCGUUAUCCGGAUUGACUGGGCGUAAAGGGUGCGUAGGUGGUUUGGCAAGUUAGUUGUGAAACUCCAAGGCUCAACCUUGGAACUGCUAUUGAAACUGUUGGACUUGAGUACAGGAGAGGCAGCCGGAAUUCCUAGUGUAGCGGUGGAAUGCGUAGAUAUUAGGAGGAACACCAGUGGCGAAGGCGGGUUGCUAGACUGUAACUGACGCUGAGGCACGAAAGCGUGGGGAGCAAACAGGAUUAGAUACCCGUGUAGUC
rnacentral:rRNA from 1 species